rnacentral:ribozyme from 1 species
GGUCGGUGAAGUCCUACCCCCACCACCACGUGGUGCCGACUGGAAACGGAACUCCGGUUCCAGCCAACGGGGGAGG